CUAAAGGUAAUAUUUUCUUUGAAAUUUUCAGGUUAUUUUUGGUAUCAUAAUGACCAUGGUAUUUCCAUAGGCAUUUUUUGUUUUUAAUUUUGUUUUUCUGUCUAAAUGUACUCUGGAAAAAUUAAGAAAAUUCUCAAAAAAAAAAGAUUUUUUUCUUCCACUGAAGUUAAAAGUAUGUGUAGAGUUUAUGAUAAUCUUCCUAUUGUAUUAGAAAUAUCUUUAAAGGAUUGUUGAAGGUUUACCUCCUCUUUUCCUCUUUACUAUCUUCCCUCUCACUUUUCUUUCCUUGCCAAAAAAAUAAAAAUGAGAGAAAAUUAAAAAAGGGGGGGAGAAGUGGCAGAGAAAAUUCACAAGUAAACUGAGGAAGUUUAAAAUCUAAAGACUGUUUCUGGACAAAUGUAAUAAUAGGCAGAUACUGACAUUCCUGUUGUUCUGGACAAAACGUGUGGGUCUUUCUGUUUUAUGAUCCCACCUGUUCUCUCCAGCACAUCCUUGUUCCCUCGUAUUCCCCCUGAGCCUACUUUAUUUGAUUUGUAGGAUGCGUGAGGAUCACUGAGGUAGAUCAUAUCAAUGACAACACUGUGACAUAAACAACUUGGCAGGGUUUUGCACUGCUUUUUUGGAAGGGUAGAGUCUGCCUUUUUUUUUUACACUUUAUUUCAACAAGUCAGAAGUGCUACAGGAGCAUAUCCCACUUCCCAUUCCAUAACCAACACUGGAUUUUCUGUAUCAAAUGCUUACAAUUCUUUGCAUCUCUCUGUUUCCUUUGAUCCCACAAAGAAAUUUAAUUGAUUUAAAAAGAAACUGAAGUAUCCCAAAAUUAACUAAAAUGUGAUAAACCUUUUUGGCAUUUACCAAAUCCUUUUUCUGUUUCUGUCAAAACAUCCAUUGAUUGUACCUGAAUAAAUGUCUUGCUGAAGUAAGUGAAGCUAUCUGUGACAUUUCUAUAAAUUACUUAUAUUUAUGGUACUUCUAAUAAAGUUCAUUGAAACUUGAGACUUUUAAAAUUAAUCAGAGGUCGAUUCAGUGCAUGAAAUAGAACCGAUUAUCUCUGCGGUACAGCUAUGAUACAGGUAUCCAAAUGAGCCGGUAGGAAUAAAGAUGUUAUUUCCAUGUUAUCUCAUUAUUAUAUCACAUAUCUGUCUAAUCUGUGAAUAAAGUAUUAACUGCUAUGUGCUUUCAGAAUCUGGAAGAAAACACGGUGAGUUCCCAAAGGUGCACGUGGACUUGUUUGUGUUUAUAAGGAAGUCAACCACAAGUGAUGUGAUUAAAGAGUACUCCAUCAGUGACUUGGCCCUGUUCUUUUCUCCAUCUGGACAGAGGUGGAAAUGGCAAGCAGAACUUACCAGGUUCAAGAAGGUGACUUUGAAGACAAUUCAUAGUGAGUGAACAUGCAUUAAAGCAUAAACAAUUCUUUGUUUCAGGAAUGAGAAAGCAUUUGUGGGCUGAGUCGUGAAAAAUAAAGAAUUGGCUUUGUUUGACUGUUAUGGCAAGUGUCAAACCUGGUAUGAGAUCUUUUCCUCAAGCAGACUUCAAUAAUAGAGAGAAUUGUUCGAGGGAAGAUAUUUCUUCUUUAUUUCUAUUGAAUGUAUGAUGAAAAAGUUGAAUAACCCUCAAGCAAACGCAUUUUAAGGAAAAUCUUAGGGGGUGUGGGAGGAACAAGCAUUGAAACGACUGCUGUAUCUCUUCCUCCUGCCGUGCAAGGUGUCUUCAGGAACCCAGAAACUUGUCAAAGUCAAAACCAUGCUUCACUGGGAUAUUAUCAGAAGAAGUUUUUUUGGGGAAGACAAGAUAAUUAAGGAACUAACUUCAGAAUGUGAUCUGUUACCUUGCGCACUAAGCUCAGUGGAGCAGGAAACUUGUAAAUGUCACAGUCAAACCAGUUAUUUAUUAGUUUGAACUGACACAGUCUAACUUCUCUGUAAGUAGUGAGAAAAUAUUCCCUAUCACUUGAGACAUUUAGAACUGCAGCAAAUUGGACAGAGCCUGAAAAAAUAUCCUCUUGAGCUGACUGCUCUUAUGGCAGCGAGAGGAGCAAUGGAAUGAACACUUAUGGUCUUUCCCUUCUUCUUUUGUCCGCCUACUGUCCUGCCACCAUCUUCAAGAUGCUGUUGGUUGUUUCUACAGUCAAAAUUGUUUCCAGAGUGCUAUAGGGUAAGUGGGCAACUCAAUUUAUAUGGUAGUGGGUGCGUGGAGAAUUGGAUGAGCUAGUGACCAGGGUACAAAAUAGUAGGAACACUUUAAAAAAAAAAAAAAAAAUUGACUUUUCCCCUUCUUGCUUACCGGCUGCAGACUGCACCAUGAGAGAAACCAAUCACAGACUCAUUCCCAAACUGUCCAGAUGAAAAAGACAUGUAGGCUACUUUGCUUACUGCCAUAACUCUCUGGAAUUGCUUCCUGCCACAUACUUGAGUACUAUAUUCUGGCUAAUUUGCUAUAACUUUCCACUAGAAACCUAUUCCACACCCUGAUAAAUCUCAUCUACAGCUCUUCCUGCAGCUCCCAUCCUGGAAAAAUCAGUCCAUAUUUUCCUUUGUCCAUUUUCAUUCUGAAUCAGAGAUGCCACCUGAAACAUAUAAGGGCUAAGAGCCUCAGCAGGCACUGGAUAAUUUUCUUUGCUCUGUGGAGGAUCCAGCAUUGUAACAAAAAUCCCACACAGGCAAGAAAAAAUGAUUCAUAUGACAGGACUAUCUCCUACCCUUAACUCCUGGAGAUAAGGACCUUUUUACUUACAACUUGGGAAAGUACUGUUUAACAAGCAUGAAAGAAGUGCCUUAUAAAACUGUUGGUUCUCCCAUACUGAACUAAAGAAAUACUUUCAGAGAAUAUAGAACAGAAAUAGAAUUUUAAAAUACCCAUCUGAAAGCUAUGAUCUGUUCUUCUGAUCUACCCUUGGGCAAAGAGGAUGUUGAAAUGGUUCAGGCUCCAUUCUGCAACACAGAACCCACCACAGACUCAUGUACCCCAUUUCCUGAGCGUUGCACUUAUGUAAUGCUAUUGUUUAAGUGCACAGUUUUGGUUCAGGGUAGUUUGUAUGAGGAUCAUGUGAAUGUUUACAUACAAUAUGCUGGAUGACCCGAGAUGAGACAGUCCCAGCUACAAAGUACGACAUGGUCUGGUGAACAUCAUUUUCCAGGUGCUCAACGUUUCCACAGGGUACUAUGUAUUGCCAUAUCAUCGAUUUGUGAAUUGUGAGUGCUUAUACCUGAUUCUCUAAGUGCUCUCUCACCUGUUUGACCUUGCCCACGAUGCCUCACUUACCCCCCAGUGAAACAAAUGGAAAGUUUUCUGUCCUUGACAGGGAACUGAAUCAGACUCAGCUGGAAGAUGAAAAGAAAUGCAGGUUAAAAACUGUUGAGGACAGAAGCGUGAAAUUUGUAGGUCAGAAGACAGUCUGGAAUUUCCUCUUCUAUUGCUGCAUUAUUUGUGUAUUGAAAUUAAAGUAUUUUGCCAUUCUCGUUCAGACCUUUGAGAAAACAUUAUUGUAGUUAAUCAGCUAAUUUUCAAGCACUGUAGCCUUACUAUAGGUACUGAACCCUGCCUUUACAUCUUUUAGCAGGAAUCCUUGUAAAUGUCACUAAAAUAUAAAGACAGCACUAUUUCUUUGAACAAGUGGUGAUGAAGGUGCGCUGUGUUAGAAAACUGACACUCUUUGUGUGUAUAUUAUCUUUUUUGAGUCCUCUCUUGGUUGUCUCUCUUUAUUCCACACAGGCAUGAUAUUAGUAGCCUGGAGCAAUUUCUGUGGGCCCUUUCAAUCAAAGCCCGUCUUGAUUUGUAUAGUUAUGUAGCACAGGCCAAGAUGAAGUGCCCAUUUAUUUCCUGAAGAAAACAGAUUAAAUGUGAAAGGUGAUCCUCAAAAGUUUCACAGUUUCAGUUGCCUUGGAGAAGCAC